AAUAGAUACCCCGGUAGUCCACGCCGUAAACGAUGUCGACUUGGAGGUUGUUCCCUUGAGGAGUGGCUUCCGGAGCUAACGCGUUAAGUCGACCGCCUGGGGAGUACGGCCGCAAGGUUAAAACUCAAAUGAAUUGACGGGGGCCCGCACAAGCGGUGGAGCAUGUGGUUUUAAUUCGAUGCAACGCGAAGAACCUUACCUACUCUUGACAUCCAGAGAACUUAGCAGAGAUGCUUUGGUGCCUUCGGGAACUCUGAGACAGGUGCUGCAUGGCUGUCGUCAGCUCGUGUUGUGAAAUGUUGGGUUAAGUCCCGCAACGAGCGCAACCCUUAUCCUUUGUUGCCAGCGGUUCGGCCGGGAACUCAAAGGAGACUGCCAGUGAUAAACUGGAGGAAGGUGGGGAUGACGUCAAGUCAUCAUGGCCCUUACGAGUAGGGCUACACACGUGCUACAAUGGCGUAUACAAAGAGAAGCGACCUCGCGAGAGCAAGCGGACCUCAUAAAGUACGUCGUAGUCCGGAUUGGAGU
rnacentral:rRNA from 1 species